rnacentral:rRNA from 1 species
AACGAACGCUGGCGGCAUGCCUAACACAUGCAAGUCGAACGAGACCUUCGGGUCUAGUGGCGCACGGGUGCGUAACGCGUGGGAACCUGCCCUUAGGUUCGGAAUAACUCCCCGUAAGGGGUGCUAAUACCGGAUAAUGUCUUCGGACCAAAGAUUUAUCGCCUUUGGAUGGGCCCGCGUUGGAUUAGCUAGUUGGUAGGGUAAAAGCCUACCAAGGCGACGAUCCAUAGCUGGUCUGAGAGGAUGAUCAGCCACACUGGGACUGAGACACGGCCCAGACUCCUACGGGAGGCAGCAGUGGGGAAUAUUGGACAAUGGGCGAAAGCCUGAUCCAGCAAUGCCGCGUGAGUGAUGAAGGCCGUAGGGUUGUAAAGCUCUUUUACCCGGGAUGAUAAUGACAGUACCGGGAGAAUAAGCUCCGGCUAACUCCGUG